rnacentral:rRNA from 1 species
UACGGAGGAUUCAAGCGUUAUCCGGAUUUAUUGGGUUUAAAGGGUGCGUAGGCGGUCGGAUAAGUUAGAGGUGAAAUCCCGAGGCUCAACUUCGGAAUUGCCUCUGAUACUGUUCGGCUAGAGAGUAGUUGCGGUAGGCGGAAUGUAUGGUGUAGCGGUGAAAUGCAUAGAUAUCGCGCAGAACCCCGAUUGCGAAGGCAGCGUGCCGUGCCGCCACUGACGCUGAGGCACGAAAGCGCGGGGAUCGAACAGG